GAUGAACGCUGACAGAAUGCUUAACACAUGCAAGUCAUUGGCGAAGCUGCGCUUGCGCAGUCUAGCCAAGGCGGACGGGUGAGUAACGCGUAAGGAACUUGCCCUGCAGACAGGGAUAACAGACGGAAACGACUGAUACCACCUGGUAUUGUCAGGCUGGCGCAUGCCGGCCUGAUGAAAGGAGACGCUGCAGGAGAGCCUUGCGUCCUAUUAGCUAGUUGGUGGGGUAACGGCCCACCAAGGCGAUGAUAGGUAGCCGGCCUGAGAGGGUGAACGGCCACAAGGGGACUGAGAUACGGCCCUUACUCCUACGGGAGGCAGCAGUGGGGAAUAUUGGACAAUGGGGGCAACCCUGAUCCAGCAAUUCUGUGUGCACGAAGAAGGUUUUCGGAUUGUAAAGUGCUUUCAGCAGGGAAGAAGAAAGUGACGGUACCUGCAGAAGAAGCGACGGCUAAAUACGUG
rnacentral:rRNA from 1 species